rnacentral:rRNA from 1 species
UACGUAGGCAGCAAGCGUUGUUCGGAAUUACUGGGCGUAAAGAGUGUGUAGGCGGUGUUCUAAGUUUGUCGUGAAAUCUCCCGGCUUAACUGGGAGGGUGCGGCGAAAACUGGAAUGCUAGAGGAUGGGAGAGGUAAGCGGAAUUCCUGGUGUAGCGGUGAAAUGCGUAGAUAUCAGGAGGAACACCUGUGGUGUAGACAGCUUACUGGACCAUUUCUGACGCUGAGGCACGAAAGCGUGGGUAGCAAACAGG